UCUGACUGAGAGUCACAGCCUCAGAGGCAACGUAAACAAGCGUUAUAUUUCUCUAUAAACGAUGGUGUCUGUACUGCCUUACCACUUCGAGCUCGAUCCAGAGAGUUCAGAAGGCCGUUACGAUAUAAACGAUCUCCGUCAAUGAAUGCGAUUGGAUUUAACUUUUUUAGGUGUCCUUAGCUCUGCCAGAAUGCUAAACGAAGACGAAAAUGUGUUGCAAAGACAUCCAAAAGGUUUUAAGGAGAAUGCAACAUGUUCCAGGGCCUCUUACCUGCGUGAUUCAUCAUCCAGGUUUUGCACAAAUUGUCUAAAUCCCUACACACAGAACAUUUAUUGUACCGACUAUAAGCCUUUGAGGUGCAGGACUAGAAUACGCUUGGAGCUUCCCGAUCGGAAUGUUGGCUUCCGACGACCCCUGCACUGAAGAUGGCAUGCAAUCACGUCCUCCUUUGAAGGUCUCUCAAACUGUGAUGCCAGGUCCAUUGGAAUCGGGGUUUCCUUCAGCU